UACAGAGGGUGCAAACGUUGCUCGGAAUCAUUGGGCGUAAAGCGCACGUAGGCGGCCCAGCAAGUGGGGAGUGAAAGCUCAGGGCUUAACCCUGAAAUGGCAUUGAAAACUGUCGGGCUGGAGGUUUGGAGGGGGGACUGGAAUUCUUGGUGUAGCAGUGAAAUGCGUAGAUAUCAAGAGGAACACCAGUGGCGAAGGCGAGUCCCUGGACAACACCUGACACUGAGGCACGAAAGCUAGGGGAGCAAACAGG
rnacentral:rRNA from 1 species